rnacentral:rRNA from 1 species
GACGGGGGGGGCAAGUGUUCUUCGGAAUGACUGGGCGUAAAGGGCACGUAGGCGGUGAAUCGGGUUGAAAGUGAAAGUCGCCAAAAAGUGGCGGAAUGCUCUCGAAACCAAUUCACUUGAGUGAGACAGAGGAGAGUGGAAUUUCGUGUGUAGGGGUGAAAUCCGUAAAUAUACGAAGGAACGCCAAAAGCGAAGGCAGCUCUCUGGGUCCCUACCGACGCUGGGGUGCGAAAGCAUGGG